UUUCUUUUUAUACAUAAAUAAGUUAAAUGCAUGAGUUUCAGCAGACACAUAGAGAAAUUUUGAACAAAAAUGUUCUAAAAGGGCUCAAGGAAAAUCAUCUUGAAUGAUCAGCUAAAGGUUUGAGGAAUGGGCUGCUGGGAUGCAGUGCAGAAAUGGUUUGCAGUAACAGCCUGGGUUAAAAAUCGAUGUUUUAUACCACAGCUGACAUGAUCUUAUGGUCUUAAAUAGUUUGGCUAAUCUGAAGGUUUUCACUACCUUCAUAGAAAAUGUGGGAGAAAGAAAAAAAAUGAUAGAUUUUUCAGUUAGUGGCAAGUAAAGCAGACCCAUAAAUUUUAUCUUGAACCAGUAUACUCCACAGGCUGCAAAUGAUGUUUUCAUCUCGUUACUGUUCAUUAACCCGAGGAUGUGAAAUCAUUCCCUAUAUCUGGUCCAUCACCUCUCACCACAUGCCCCCUCCCUUUCUCCCUCUCUCCCACCCUGGAUUCCUGUGUAAAUAGUGCAAGUUCAUUCAUCACCAGGUAAUCAGAAGACUGUCAUGAUCUACUGGCUGUAAAAUUUGAGAGUACUUAUAAUUUCAUUUGUAUUACAGAAAGACAUAUUUGAGAAGCUGCUGGACAGAGAAAUAGAAAGAGAUCAAACAUUCCCUGAAGUGUGGUAGAAGGCAGGAAGAAUGACACUUGCUAAUUUGAAUUUCAGAAAACGCCUAAACUUCAUUCUGAUCUCCAGCACAGGCUUGUUCUUAAUGUAAAACUGGACCUGAAGGAACUUAUGUUGUAAAUGUGUCUUGUCGCUGGAGAAACGCUGUGCCUGUGAACUGCAAGCUGGCAAUGGAUAGUGUGGAGCUACUUGGAUGGAGCAUGAGAUUAUCGAAAACAAUUCAUUGUCUGCUUCCACAAAACAUCUCUCUGAAAAUCUGAGAACAGCUAUUGAACCUUCUCCUAGUCUUUCCCCUCCUGGAUUAAGCUUUGCAAGCUCAGUUCUUGCAAAGUCUUAUGCUAGAAAAGUUUUUUUAAGUUCAUUCUUAUUUCAGGUUCUGGGACUUUCUCCAGCUGGUUCAUGUAUUGUAUUGACAUGUGAUAACCUGCAGUGGUCACAGGGAUCCAGGUAAAGAAUUACGAGCUCUGAAAGGAAUAUUUUGUGUGUUUAACAUAAAAUGUACUCCUUUUAUAUAACACAGCAUGAUUGCUUCUUAGGCAAUUGUACAAUUUUAUUGCUUGUUUGUGAUCCAUUCUAAUUGCCAGAUUCUUUUUCGCACUGUGUUUGGUUAGUCAUUCUCCUUUUUAUAUUUGUGCAGGUAAUUUUACUUGUAUAGGCACAUGUGAAUUCACUUAAUUGCUUAGCUGCAUCCAGAUUUCUGCUGUGCACCAAGGUAAUUUAAAAUGUACAUUCUGCACUCUGAUGGAUUUGAAGUCCAUUUAGCUUAGUGUAAUUUUAAAAUGCAAAAAGCAUCUUAAUCAUCUACUGGUUCAAUAAUGAACAUGUCAUGCAGAUUCUUGCAGAAUCUGACCUGAUGCAUCUUGCUCAUUUAAAGAUGAAUCACUAAUAACUAUUGGUAACUAAUUCUGUGAAUGGGAUUUCCCAAAUAACUACCUACCUCAAAUCUGCUUGUCUAUGCAAAUGUCCUGUGAGAUGUCAAAAGCCAAAAUCCAGAUGCAUGACAGUGUUUUUUCUCUUCUGUCCAUUAAUCUUGUUAUCUACUGUAGAGAGAAAUAAAUUUGCUCUUACAUGAUUUAUUUAUUAUAAAUUCCUUUGUCUCCUACAUCCUAUUUACAUUCAAGAUUCUUGCAAAUAGACCUUUUCAUUAUUUGUUCUGAUAUUUUCUGGUAAUUGUAAUUGAAGGUAAGCUCUCUUUUCCCUUUUGACAUUUUGAAAGUAAGUAUUUGCCUUUUCUAGACUUCUGGAAUCUGUGUCCCUCAAGUUGCUAAAGACAAUUGCUAAUAGCUAAUAAAAUAUUUUCAGUGUUCUCAGAACUGAAAUGCAACAGACCCAACCAACUUGAAAACAGCUACUGUCUAGUGUCUACUGGUUUUCUUUUUUUUUUUUUUGUCUGGUUUUCACUUGUCUAUUUAUGAUUUUAAUGGGGUUGGCUAUCACAUUAAAACUGAUCUUUUAAACAAAGGCUAAGGAAAAAGAUAAUUGAACAUUUUCAAGAUAAAGUGAUAAUGCUGUAAGUGUGAUAGCCUAAGAAUGUAAGCAAGGAACAGUGGUGGAAUAAAAAACAAUCUCUCUCAUUAACCCAAUUGAUAUGGUUGGAAAAUGGACAAGCAUCUGCCUCUGUAAUGGGGUUUGUGUUUCUGAAGCCUUUUUUGUUAAUACUAAAUUAGUCAGUUUAAUAAGAGGUAUAACUUCUCUCCUGUAACCCUGUCUGAGUCAACACUUUAGCC